rnacentral:tRNA from 1 species
UCGUGAUUAGCUUAGUUGGUAGAGAGCUCCUCUGGAAAAGGAGAGGUCCCUGGUUCGAUACCAAGACCAGGCG